UAGGGAAUCUUCGGCAAUGGGGGGAACCCUGACCGAGCAACGCCGCGUGAGUGAAGAAGGUUUUCGGAUCGUAAAGCUCUGUUGUUAAGGAAGAACGAGUGUGAGAAUGGAAAGUUCAUACUGUGACGGUACUUAACCAGAAAGGGACGGCUAACUACGUGCCAGCAGCCGCGGUAAUACGUAGGUCCCGAGCGUUGUCCGGAUUUAUUGGGCGUAAAGCGAGCGCAGGCGGUUAGAUAAGUCUGAAGUUAAAGGCAGUGGCUCAACCAUUGUAGGCUUUGGAAACUGUUUAACUUGAGUGCAGAAGGGGAGAGUGGAAUUCCAUGUGUAACGGUCAAAUGCGUAGAUAUAUGGAGGAACACCGGUGGCGAAAGCGGCUCUCUGGUCUGUAACUGACGCUGAGGCUCGAAAGCGUGGGGAGCGAACAGG
rnacentral:rRNA from 1 species